rnacentral:rRNA from 1 species
GCGAACCGGAUUAGAUACCCGGGUAGUCCACGCCCUAAAACGAUGCGGGCUAGGGUGUCGGGGGGUAUUCCCUCGGURCCGCAGCUAACGCGUUAAGCCCGCCGCCUGGGCAGUACGGCCGCAAGGCUGAAACUCAAGGGAAUUGACGGGGUCCCACACAAGCGGGUGGAGCAUGUGGUUUAAUUCGAUGCUAAACGAAGAACCUUACCCGGGCUUGACAUGCAGGUGGUACCGACCCGAAAGGGAAGGGACCCCGGGCCGAAAGGCGCCGGGGAGCCUGCACAGGUGCUGCAUGGCUGUCGUCAGCUCGUGCCGUGGGGUGUUGGGUUAAGUCCCGGAACGAGCGCAACCCCUGCCGCCAGUUGCCAGCGGGCCCAAAUGGGCGCCGGGGACUCUGGCGGGACUGCCGGCGAAUAGCCGGAGGAAGGAGGGGAUGACGUCAAGUCCUCAUGGCCCUUAUGCCCGGGGCUACACACAUGCUACAGUGCCCGGUACAAUGGGACGCGAAGGGGCGACCCGGAGCAAAUCCCAUCAAAGCCGGGCAUGGUGCGGAUUGCAGGCUGCAACCCGCCUGCAUGAAGAGGGAAUCGCUAGUAAUCGCGGGUCAGCUACACCGCGGUGAAUACGUACUUGGGGCUUGUACACACCGCCCGUCACGCCAACCGAGUGGGAGGCACCUGAAGUCGUCCGAA